UGAAAAAAGGCAUGUACAAACUGAUCAGUCCUUUUAAAACUGUAGCUAAAAAUAUGAGGCAGAAAACACAGAUUGAUUUUUGUGCAAGUAGCAAUUUUUUUAGGCUCUAGGCAAGGGUUCUAUGGUGGUCUCAUUUACAAGUUUAUCCUUCAGUCCUGUCUUUUUGGGUGCAGAAUGACCAGAUCUGGAGAUGGUACCGAGUGUCACCAAUGCUGUCAAUUCUCCAUUCCUCCGCCCUAUUGCACUAAGUGACGGCUGUGGGUAGGAACUGGACCCUCCAACAUGUAAACAACGCUGAAGCAGAACCCCAUAAAUAUACAUGCUCCUGUAACUCAGCUAGCUGGAUUCUUUUCAUCUGAGUCAACCUCUUCACAGGCGGCAACUUACCACAGACUUAAUAUCUUCCACCUGAAACAUCAGGCCGCUGCAAGUAGUUUUCCUUGCAAUUUCAACUGUAAACAAGCCACACUGAAUUAUGAGUUAUUAUUUUCAAGAGCCAGAAGCAGCAUAUUUUGAUCCUUUUGGAAUUAAAGUACCCCUACCCCUACCCUCCAAAGAGCACACUGCUUUGAUUCCAUUUAAUGGCCCUGAGAUAUGUGUCACUAGCUUGAAUUUUUCUAUCAUAUAAACAUUACUACCUUCUGCAGAAUGUCAUCUUAGGGGAGAGUGAUAAACAGUUGACAUAAUUUGAAUUAGAGUUAUUUAAUUUUUAAACUAAAUGUCUAGGUCCUCUUUAUUACAAUAAUCCUAAAAUACAUUUUCUCGAGGGAAAAAUUCGGGAGUGUCCCAAUUAUUGUAGUACACAGUAAGUUUUUGUACUCUUGAAAUGUCCCUGUUUGUCUUCUCAGUCAAAAUGGGAACUGUCUUAAAUAAGAUUUUGGACAGGCUCAAGGUACCUUUCCUGUCGUACUGGUGAUGUAUGUAACCUGAUUACAUUCCAUCACAGUUUCAGUUAAAUUAAGUAUACAUAUGUUCCACAAUUUAUAUUAUUUUUGAGAGUGAUGAAGACAGUCAGAGAUGGAGAAAGUGAAGAAAGCAGUAGAAAUCAGCAAAAUGCAGAUGACAGAAAAAGAUAUGUUCUCUUUGCGUUUUUGCUUCUGUUGCAGAUGUUGUGGCCUCUUUAGCUUAAGCUGAUUUCAAUACAUCGAUUUCUUUGUACUGGAGAUAAUGCUCUGUUAAAAAAGAAAAUAUUCUUUGGAGCAUAGAUUGUUGGCUCUAAAUCUAAAUACUAUGUAGUUUCUAUUUAAUUUAGAUGUGAUUAUAUGUAAGUAAAUAUGAAUAAAAUUAUGAUCUGAAAUAAGCAGAAAAUUAUUUAAAUAACUGCAUAUAAUGCAUACGGUUGAAUCAAAACAAAGUCUAGAAUAAAACAGCUCAAGUAUUAUGUAUGAUUUAAGGGGCUUGGGACCAGAUUUUAGAGAGUUAUAGUUUUUGUUCUGUGCAAGAUAUCAUUAUGAGCAAAAGCAUGAUUUGUCUCUCUGUGUGUGGCCCUUUGUUAGCUACUGUACAGAGCUAAUGAACUGACCUGUUUCCAAAUCCUUAGGACCUUGCAAUGUACAACUGAUAACAAUAUAAAUAUAUAUAAAGGACUUAAAAGCAACAGAGACGAAACCUGAGAGCACAGUGAGUUAAAUAAUUUAAGGUAUAUUAUUCAGGGACUAGAGCAGGCAGUUUUAGUAGUAACAUGUGUAAGGAAAGUGAACCAAGAAAAAAAAAAAAUUCAACACUGUCUCAGGGAAAACUUCCUAGAGUAGAGGAGGGUAAUAGGAGUUAGCAUGCUGGAGGCUACAAGGAAGGUACUCGAAUCUCAAUACUUUAAAUAAAAAAUGGCUCAGCAUAACUCACUGGUUGCCAGCUCUGCUGUACUUUGCAAUUACCUGGGGAUCUUUUAAAAAUAUUAAUGUCUGGCUCUCACUUCCAGAUAUUCUGAUUUGAUUAUUACAGGUUGUGAGCUAGGCUUUGGGAUUUUCAAAAUCUCCCUAGGCUAUUUUAAUGUACAGUAAUGUUUGGGGAUCACUGACACGAAUAUAAUGCCCUUUAAAAAAAUAAAAUAUAUCAGAGAAGCUAUUUUCUUUUUUUGUAAGCAAUAGCUUUUUGUAUGUGUAAGCUUUCCUUAAUUGUAUAUAAAUGUAAAUAUAACUUUUAUUUUAAAAUUGGAAAUGUUCCCUUUUACUACUUGGAUUUAGCAAGCAUUGCUGGUUAUUUGGGUUAUCAACAGCUGAUAGACGCAUUCAAUGAAAUUCUAUUUAGCAUUAAAAAUGAACAUAUGGGGGCUGGCCCCGUGGCUGACUGGUUAAGUUCGUACACUCCACUGCAGGCGG